rnacentral:rRNA from 1 species
GGGUCAGUAGGUUGGUCGUGCCACCGGUAAGUACUGGUCUCACUGAUUCCUCCUUCCUGAAGAACCGUGAUGCCAUUAAUUUGGUGUUGCGGGGAAACAGGACUGUUACUUUGAAAAAAUUAGAGUGUUUAAAGCAAGCUAACGCUUGAAUACAUUAGCAUGGAAUAAUGAAAUAGGACGAUCGAUCCUAUUUUGUCGGUUUCUAGGAUUGACGUA